AGGGGGAAGCGAGAAGGAAAAAAAGCGGCCAGAGGGUAUAAGAAGGAUGGGAAUAGAGGGUCGCGUAGAAGAACUCGCAGUACGCCGAGCGCACACCCUGGGUAUUGGCUUACGCUUCCAACCGAUUGGGCCCGUGGUAUUUACGCAGGACCCCGUAGAAAACCGGACCCCGCCUUCGUCUCUGUCGAUGGUAACGCGCGAUUCCACGCAACCGUAACGUUUCCAACGAGUUGCAGCGGUCGCUGUUAGGGUCGGGUUAGACCCGACAGGGUGGUACGCGACCGUGCGAGUCGCGCGAGACUCGAUCGUUAAACUAUCGAGUUUGCCUCUUAUAUCGCGUUGUUCUCUAGGUAAAAAAUUGAUCGUAUCGACAGAGCCGCUUCGCGUUUAACCGCGAUACGCGACCACAAAAUUCGCACGAAACGUUUACGCCCAAUUUCCCGAUCUCGAAUCAUCGAUUCAGAGGCAGAGAUAGCCUAUGGCGUAGCGUCUAUGGCAACGAGAAUCGGUCGGUCUUCCUACCCUCUUCGAGGGAGCAUCGCAGCCGACCACACACCUGUGUUUGCUCGCACCUGAAAUCAAACGGGCGAUUACAUUUCCGCGAUCGUUCUACCGGCGAAAUCGAAAGAAACGGACACGCGUCGUACGUACGCCGAUCCGCCUUAAUCGCGCGCGCACGUCAGGCGACUACGCGAGCCGGGUUGCAUCCGCUUAUCUCGCCGGGUGCUCGUUUCUUAAAUACUUUCGACAAAUAUACUCGCAAUACGUAGGCUGUACGUACGUAGGUACGUUCGUUCUCGUAGAAACGAAUCUCGUUGAUGCUCAGUUUCACCUUUUCAUCUGCCAAAUGAAGCGAUACAGAAAACUAACUUCUUUUACCUGAAAUUUACUCUUAACUCGCUUAUUCGAUUAUAGCAGAGUUAAACGUAUCCGAGUUGGCGUUUUCAAGUUGGAAGAAAAGAGUUCCUCGAAAUUCGGUUUAUAUUCGCAAAUGAAAUUUUGCGAUUUCACGGCUUUCUAUUUUCUAUUUUCGUGCUAUCGUGUAACGCGACGCGUAUCGUCAAAGUACAGCGUACCGUAGAUCGAUGCAAGAAGAGCGGGCGUGUUCAUCGCCGUCCAUUCAAAGUUGAAUGAUUAACCCUCGUGACGAGAUGACAGUGACGGUAUUGUUCGCGAUCAAAAGUUCCUCCCACUGGUACCCAUCUCCCUUUGCUAAAGUGAUUGCGCAUCGGAUAAUCUCCACCGUUAGGAUAAAGCCAGCUUUCAACGAUCGAGAUGUUACUAAAUACGCGACGGCUGCUUAAUUACAUUUGCGGUGAACCGCCUAUCGCCGCUGCACCAGCUUCCGGAUACCGUGUCACCGAAACACAACGUAAAACGUAUCGCCGCGUUUUUACACGUUUUUCGUAUCCGAUGUACGUACAUCGUGGAAAAUCAAUUUGCAAGUUUCAUCGGCACCGUAACGAGACGCCUUGCUUGCACUCGUCGCAAGUGUAUACGCUUUGCGGACGCUUUGCCAAAGCGUUCGAAUUUAGUUCAUCGUUUAUGCCUAUGUCGUCUGUGUUUCUUCGAUUCCAAUUAUUCCACGAUCGCGUGUACGAUCGUCGCCGGAAGAUUCGCAAACGUGGCCGCCUCUUUGGUCGUUGGAAAUCCCAUCGGAUGACAAGAUAGCGAUCGGACGGUGGCUUAUCGCGUUCUUUGUUCGAGCAAAGAUCUUUGGCGUAUGCGGCGACGGUGGCGGCCGGCUGGCACGCGCCACGUGUAAUUCGAUCGGCUAUUUCGACGACCAGCAACAGCCAACGGAGCGGCCCGGAAAGUGGACAAGGUUUUAAUCCUCGAGAAAACUGUUACGAACACGGGGCCAGCUCGUGCUACUCUCGCUAAUCGUGGCUCGCGAGUCUCGCCUUAUUUUCUUAGCCGGCUAUCGCGGACAGAUGCUAGGCCGUGGUCUCUGCCUCGCGUCUUCCUUCAACCCUUUCUCAAAAUACGAAACUCGAUACCAACCGUGAAUGUUGUAGCCAAAUUGCCGCCUGCCACUCUGCUCUUAACUAAAAAUAGCCGACCAUGGUCGUUGCCUCUUGGAUAAACAGCGCGAAGAGAGAUAGCGGCGUUUCAGUUAUUCGACCGUCCAAGUCACUCGAGUUUUCCUUCAUUUUCAUUCCAAUUACCAAUUACCAAUUACCAAUUACCAAUUACCAAUCUCGUCGUUUUAAAUCGCCUUCGUUUCGCGGAAAUCCAAUUUUCACGUAUAUCCAUCGAUCGCUCGGAUCCCGAUCGAGUUUCUAGAGGCAACGAUGCAGCGAUCGAUGCCGUUUGCAAAAUUUCUCCAAUUCUAUCAACUAUCGACAAAUAGUCGACUGUAGUCGUUGUAGCGAAGAAUUUGCGAUUGUUCGCCGAUUCUUGCACCGAUAUCCAGAUGAUUCCGAAGCAACAGCCUGGACAAGCGCUUUGAAAUUACUGUUAUGAUGCUCACGAUGUGUUAAAAUAAGGUCGGAUGAAAAAAUUCUAUAAUGGAACAGUAAGAAAUGGGAACGUUGAACGUACAAAGUAGCCGACUAUAUUGUCUUUUCUCAUUCUCUGUCGUAAAGUGCGGGAUCGACGCCACGCAAUUUGCCACCAAUCGUGUAGCGGCGUUAAGCGUAAAGAUAGACGCAAAUGCGACAAAUAUUUAUUUAAUCGUAAAAUACGAUCGAAUUUUGUAAAAAUACUAAACGUGGAAGAUGAAGAUAAAAAUGAAGAAAUAAAAAGGAAUAUCAGGAUGCAACAUUAGUGCUAUAAGCCAUCGAUGUAUCGGCAAGUCGUUCCGCGUCCCUGGAACAUCGACGAGGAAGAAGAGACGCGACUAAUUGCGCCGCGCCGGUAUUCCGGAAUUGCUUUAAAGCAUUAGCUGGAACGUCGCAGAGAGGUAUACAACCCCCCAAGAUGGCUGCUCCCGGGCGUAUCGACGUUUGGCGUUUGCAGGGUUUCCCAGAGGCGCUAACGACGCUGGAGGAAGGGAAAUAUAUGGCGUCGCGUCCGGUAAUCUCCAACGACCCAGCUCGUCGCUCCAAGUGGCCGUGGAUCUGACGGCAGCGACAUCGCGAAACGGACAUCCGGGUCGAAGAUGAGGAACCAUCGCGUCGCAUAUUUGCGAGUCUAUCUCCGGUGGCACCAGUCCUCGCUUGCCUCUCGGAUCCAGCAAGAUCCACCAGGUGAAGCCUUCCCCUCUUCACCGUAUUCUCAGUCUUACUGUUCUCCUCGUUAAUGGCCAGCGUUUCCAAGGAUAACGUCAACACAGCGUGACUUCUGGAACUAGCUGCGUUCAUUUUAGUAGCUGCGGCAGCUCUUCUUCUAUCACCUUGUUCGACCAGUCGUGCACAUUCCGCCGCAUCUUUCACCGUCACCUCUCUCAAACCUCCAGCCACGUAAGUUCCACGAUUGGGAUCCUCUUUCAAGGUAACUCAGCAGGGCCAAGUAUCUCAUUUGCGCGCUGGCCGUCGACGUGGCCUCGAAGAUGUGGUCUAAAGUACGUUCGAUGAAACCACGCAUUGUGUGCGAUUUGCCGCAGCCUGUUUGUCCGUAUGCAAACACGGUGCCAUUGUAGCCGUCCAGUACAGCUUCCACGAUGACCGAACCAACGUUUUCGUAGACGAAUUCCGUAGUUGCUUCCGGACCGAAGGCGGCGUCAAAUUGGUACACCUUGCCGUUUCCGGGGCCUGCGGCUGCUGGACACUCGAGGGUGCAGCAUUUUGACGCGGAAUCGAUCGUUACCACGUUCUGCGCAGGUGAAAAUACGAUAGGUGAAUUUUCGAGUUUACCGACAGAUGUGUAAAGGUCGAUGAAAUUUCAUUAUUAUUAAUAAUACAAGUUUAAUAAUAUUUCAUCGUUGCUGAUCGAUUUAAUAGCUUUGUUACUUGUAGCUCUUUGAUAGCUCUCAAAGUUGCUGUUUCUCAAAGUUGUAUACUGCAAAGUAUACUGUUUGCAGUAUAUAACGAAAGAAUGCGAAGACGCAGAGGGAAUAGGAAAAAAAAGGAUAGAGACGCAAAAAGUAACGGGGAUCGGAGGAAGAACGGAGAAGAAAUAAGAGGCUAGAACCAAGAAAGAAGAACGCAACGGCGUGUAAUAUCAUGUGUAACAACGUGAGAUCAAAAUACAGAUAUAGAGCGACAUAUCGCGGCAUGAAUUAAGGUCGCUGUACAUUUACGAAACACCGUGACUUGGAAAAAUAUGUUUUCGUAGUGUGCGUGCAUGUAGGUUUCCGUUGUGCAAAUAUUUUUCUGUUUAAUCCAUUCUUAAAAGCGAACUACGCGUAUAAAAAAGGAUAAAUGUCGCAAAUGUUUCCUGCCUUUAUUAAUAACAGGUUUUUGUAAACUUCAUCGGAGCGGAAUAUCGAUCCGGCAAAAAACUUGGCUGGAUUUGAAAUUAAAACCUAUAACUGCACUCCCGUAAUUUACAAGUAACGCGUGCAAGAACGAUCAAAGUUUCAUUUUUUUAUAAAACUAAUUGAUCGACCAACUAUUUAUCGAUCGCGUUAUAUCGCGACACCUCUAUACUCGUUAUGCAAAAACUAUCCGUGUAAUGUGGUUAUUACUUGCAACAUCGGUUUAGCGAUAGUUUGUAGUUCAUACUCAUAUCGAUCGAAUUUCGCGGAAAUAAUAAUAAAACGCGAUUGUCGCUUCUUCCUAUUUCGGUAUUGUAACUAAAUUAUCGAUUCGAGCUUCUUUUCCCAUUUUUCAUUCGAUACAUCGAGUAAAUAAGUUUGACAGAUGAAAUUCAAAGUCAGCUGCUAUGCUAGACGACCGCGAUACUCUCAGAUCGGCCAAAUUAAUUUCAAAUUUAGGUUAAUUUAAAAUCAAGUACUCUGAUUAAAAUUAGUGACACGUGAUUCAACGACGUUGGUCGUGAGUUAAACCUGAUACAAUAAAAUGAAACUAAAUUGCCUUAAAAUUAAAUUAAAAUUAAAAUGCAUCGAACAGUAAAAUAUGAAAUAACGAAUAUCUUUCCUGAUAAUUCCUGUAUCUUAAAUCGUUUUACACUUCUAUAUGCAUGUGUACGUAUAUUCCUACGUUAUCGAACUUAAUAAAAUUGAACGAAUACGGCGCACGAAUUCUUUUAACAAAGUUAACAUUCUAUACUUUUCAAGUAACGAAAAACAAACGUAAAUACAAUUAAAAGAAAAGAAAACUCGUAUCCUAUCUGUCACGUGUUGACUUGAAGUCCCUUUCCAUUUUCAUCGUACGUCCAUCACGUACCUCACAGCUACGUAUCACGGACCAUCGUGUACAGUGAGUCGUCAUUAAAUUUACUAUUCCAUAAGAUAUUCAGAAGGUAACGUAGGCACGCUAAGCUGAUCGGUACAUACACGAUGCAUAGAUAGUAGUAUCGAACCGCGUCGUUGCACACAUCAUUUUACAUGCCUAUAUAUAUAUAUAUAUAUAUAAACUAUAACUAUAUAUAUAUAUAUAUGUACGUAUUCACAUGCUUAUCGAUGAAGCGGAAUAUAUGCCAAAUCGAUGGAAAGCCACAGUCGUGCUACCAAUUUUAUAUCCUCCUUGUUUUUCCUUCUUUCACGUUCAUGCAGGGCGACACACGUGGUUGACACACUGUCACAAGAGACACACGUGCACGCUGCGUGUACGUGUAACUUUUGCGUAGGUGCGAUCGUACGAUUCGCGAUAAAUACACGCACAUAUUUCUUGAUUUAUAUCAACGGUAUAAUGAUUUUCAGAUUUUAAAGUUCCACGCUAAUUAUUAAACGACAUAUUUAUAGUUUCUCGUAUUUUGACCUGGUCUGAGUUUCGGUUCACACGAAGCGAACUGCAAUGCAUAUUCACAAAACGUCCGUAAAACGUUCAACGUAUAAUUAAAAACUUGUCGAUCGAAACCUGAAAAAUUACGAAUAUCUCGAUAAAAUGAUUUUUAUUAAAGUAUAGAUAUAUACAAACAUAGUAUACAAAUUAAUAGUUAACUGUCAUAUUUGUUAUUUUCCUAUAUUCUUCCAUAUAAUUAUAACUUUGGAAUAGUAUGUAUUAGGUAUACUUGAAGUAAGCACGAUGUGUGAUUUAUCCGUGAGAUUAGAAGACCUGUUUUUAUUUAAUCGAUAUCUUCGAAAUCAAACAAUUUUGAAAUCGAGAAUUUCUCAAAUAGCGAAACUCUUCCAUUACGUUACAUAGCAUUUGUGCAAAAGAAAUUUACGGUUUUAUUGAUGCGAAUAGUUGAAUAUCGAAUAUCGAAGAAAUAAGCAACUGUAGGGAUACUCUUUUCGACGAUGGUGUAGCUUCCUAGAUACGUAGAAAAACGAAAUAUACUCGUUGAUACGCAUUACGGUAAACUAAUUAUUUCGCCGUUCUUUGAAUUUCUUUUAUUGUGAAAAAAUUACGUUUGAUUUGUAUGGGAUAAAGGGGAUUUCUUUAUUUUAUUUCCGAUGUAAAUUGUCGAAUUCAUAACCUAUAUCAUACGAUCGAUCUUUUUUCUUUUUUAUGGUGUAAAAGAAAUUCAAGCUUUUUAUGGUUUACCGCAGAAUCGUAAUAGUUAUAACAGUUAAAAAGACAGACAGUUCCUACUUGUUAAAAAAUUCUAACAUUCAGCGCCACAUCAUGUUGCUAACAGCCACAAGACGUUAACAAUAUUAAAAAGAACUAUUCAGUUUAAAUAAAUAAAAAAUGCAGUUUUCUUUUUACUAAGGCGUUGUGCAAUGUGGGACGAGAGCUUAAGGCUAAGUCGAGUUUUUAGCUUGUUGCGGGACAUUCGAAAAGAUCUAGGAAAAUUCGUGGCUAUUUAUUAGCAUCUCUACCGCGAUAUCCAACAGAUUUCAAAGUGACGUAUUUAAAAAUUUGUUUAAAAAUAUAUCGACAUUUAAACAAAAUUAUUUGGUAAAAUACGCGAUCGAAAAAUCGUUGGAGGCUUAAACGUCCCACAUUGCACAUUGAGGGUAAAAGAUCUGAAACAAAAAGAAAGAAAAACCAAUCAGAAUCUUUAUGGUGACUUUGCUUAUUUAAUAAAACUAAAACCAUCCUUGAUCGGACGAAAUUCGUUCAUCCAACGAGCUCGAGUCGAAGAUUCGAAGAUUCAGAGAGGAUGAUCUCUUAAAAAAAAUUCCUAGCAGAAAAAUUACAGUGUCCAUGCAUGUUGCUCGCGUGUUUUGAUACGGUCGCUAGGCUACAACGCGCUCGAUAGAACAACGACGAGUUAUCCGCAUACUUUCCACGAAUAAACAAAACAAGAA